rnacentral:rRNA from 1 species
AACGAACGCUGGCGGCGUGCUUAACACAUGCAAGUCGAACGCGAAAGGGGCUUCGGUCCUGAGUAAAGUGGCGCACGGGUGAGUAACGCGUGGAUAAUCUACCUGACAUUUUGGGAUAACAUUUCGAAAGGGGUGCUAAUACCGGAUAAGACCACGAGGCCUUAGGGCCAUGGGGUAAAAGGUGGGGACCUUCGGGCCUGCCGAUGUCAGAUGAGUCCGCGUACCAUUAGCUAGUUGGUGGGGUAAAGGCCUACCAAGGCGACGAUGGUUAGCUGGUCUGAGAGGAUGAUCAGCCACACUGGAACUGAGACACGGUCCAGACUCCUACGGGAGGCAGCAGUGGGGAAUUUUGCGCAAUGGGGGAAACCCUGACGCAGCAACGCCGCGUGAGUGAUGAAGGCCUUCGGGUCGUAAAGCUCUGUCAGAGGGGAAGAAGUGCAGUGGCGCUAAAAUCGUCAUUGCUUGACGGUACCUUCAAAGGAAGCACCGGCUAACUCCGUGCCAGCAGCCG